UUCUGGACAAAUGGAAUAAUACAAUAUGGGAUAGUCAAUAAAUGGAAUUCAAGUAAUGGAAUCAUAUGAUUCCAAGGAACCUGAAAUUUCUACCAUUCGUCUUUUCUGAAGGGAGUUGCCUGAAGAGUAUUCUUAACUAGGAUAAUGCGUUCUUCUGAACUAUCUUACAAAAUUGUUUGGGC